UACCAUAAUGAGCAAACCAACCUAAAGGUGGGGACGCAAAGCCAUGGGUCUAAGGAUGUUACAUCUAUGAUUGCCAGGUUGCAUCG
rfam:Pelosinus fermentans B4 ctg2, whole genome shotgun sequence.